GUUUUUACCUUGUCAGCUCGGGGAUUCGAUCCAGCAACCUUUCAGUUACUGGCUCAACGCUCUAACCACUAGGAUACCUGAUUGGACCUAAAUACUCCUGCUUGUAUUGACCUGAUUGGACCUAAAUACUCCUGCUUGUAUGAACCUGAUUGGACCUAAAUACUCCUGCUUGUAUUGACCUGAUUGGACCUAAAUACUCCUGCUUGUAUUGACCUGAUUGGACCUAAAUACUCCUGCUUGUAUGAACCUGAUUGGACCUAAAUACUCCUGCUUGUAUGAACCUGAUUGGACCUAAAUACUCCUGCUUGUAUUGACCUGAUUGGACCUAAAUACUCCUGCUUGUAUUGACCUGAUUGGACCUAAAUACUCCUGCUUGUAUGAACCUGAUUGGACCUAAAUACUCCUGCUUGUAUGAACCUGAUUGUUUGAACUCAGAACACCAGGACUGUGUGAAAUAAUGCAGCAAUGAGUAAGCUACAGUUGUGGGACCUUUUGGCUGAGUUAGCCAUUAGCCCAGGUGGGUUUAGUACAGGUUGGCUGAGUUAGCCAUCAGCCCAGGUGGGUUUAGUACAGGUAGGUUUAGUACAGGUUGGCUGAGUUAGCCAUUAGCCCAGGUGGGUUUAGUACAGGUAGGUUUAGUACAGGUUGGCUGAGUUAGCCAUUAGCCCAGGUGGGUUUAGUACAGGUUGGCUGAGUUAGCCAUCAGCCCAGGUAGGUUUAGUACAGGUUGGCUGAGUUAGCCAUCAGCCCAGGUGGGUUUAGUACAGGUAGGUUUAGUACAGGUUGGCUGAGUUAGCCAUCAGCCCAGGUGGGUUUAGUACAGGUAGGUUUAGUACAGGUUGGCUGAGUUAGCCAUCAGCCCAGGUGGGUUUAGUACAGGUAGGUUUAGUACAGGUUGGCUGAGUUAGCCAUCAGCCCAGGUGGGUUUAGUACAGGUAGGUUUAGUACAGGUUGGCUGAGUUAGCCAUCAGCCCAGGUGGGUUUAGUACAGGUAGGUUUAGUACAGGUUGGCUGAGUUAGCCAUCAGCCCAGGUGGGUUUAGUACAGGUAGGUUUAGUACAGGUUGGCUGAGUUAGCCAUCAGCCCAGUGGGUUUAGUACAGGUAGGUUUAGUACAGGUAGGUUUAGUACAGGUUGGCUGAGUUAGCCAUUAGCCCAGGUGGGUUUAGUACAGGUUGGUACAAUGUCUUCAGAAAAUAUUUAUACCCCUGGACUUCUGGGUGAGUCUAAGAGCUGUGAGUCCUUCUGGGUGAGUCUAAGAGCUGUGAGUCCUUCUGGGUGAGUCUAAGAGCUGUGAGUCCUUCUGGGUGAGUC